rnacentral:ncRNA from 15 species
UCAGUCCUUAUCUUGGGGAAGCAUGAUCAUUCAAUGAACGUAUAGUGAGGAUGAUUUUGCUAACACCAAUUACAAACACAUACGUCACCGCCUACAGCUUCGGCUGAUGUGUUUGGUGCAAUUUAUGGAAAA